GCGCCCAGGAUCGCCGGGCCCCAGCCCGGGACUGGGGCUCGGAGGAGCUGGCGGAGCGCACCCCGGAGGGGUGGUAGCAGGGGCGUCUCGCUCACCUUUGACGUCGGCACUCGCCACCCCAGCCCAAGUUAACCCUUCUCCUGCAGACACAAAAGUUGGGUUGUGAAUUUUCCGAGGUAGCCGCCGUCUCGCCCCCGACCCCCGCCUCUGAUCUACCUAACUAUAAUUAAAGUGCGUUUUUUGUGGCAUUAA